GAUGAACGCUAGCUACAGGCUUAACACAUGCAAGUCGAGGGGCAGCAUGAGGUCAGCUUGCUGACUUUGAUGGCGACCGGCGCACGGGUGAGUAACGCGUAUCCAACCUGCCCAUAACUAAGGGAUAAUCCGUAGAAAUGCGGUCUAAUACCUUAUGUUGUCCGAGGAAGACAUCUGAUUCGGACGAAAGAUUUAUCGGUUAUGGAUGGGGAUGCGUCUGAUUAGCUUGUUGGCGGGGUAACGGCCCACCAAGGCGACGAUCAGUAGGGGUUCUGAGAGGAAGGUCCCCCACAUUGGAACUGAGACACGGUCCAAACUCCUACGGGAGGCAGCAGUGAGGAAUAUUGGUCAAUGGACGAGAGUCUGAACCAGCCAAGUAGCGUGCAGGAUGACGGCCCUAUGGGUUGUAAACUGCUUUUAUACGGGGAUAAAAGAUGUCACGUGUGACAUUUUGCAGGUACCGUAUGAAUAAGGACCGGCUAAUUCCGUGCC
rnacentral:rRNA from 1 species